rnacentral:rRNA from 1 species
GAUGAACGCUGGCGGCGUGCCUAAUACAUGCAAGUCGAGCGAACAGACGAGGAGCUUGCUCCUCUGACGUUAGCGGCGGACGGGUGAGUAACACGUGGAUAACCUACCUAUCAGACUGGGAUAACUUCGGGAAACCGGAGCUAAUACCGGAUAAUAUAUUGAACCGCAUGGUUCAAUAGUGAAAGACGGUUUUGCUGUCACUUAUAGAUGGAUCCGCGCCGCAUUAGCUAGUUGGUAAGGUAACGGCUUACCAAGGCAACGAUGCGUAGCCGACCUGAGAGGGUGAUCGGCCACACGGGAACUGAGACUCAGUCCAGACUCCUGCGGGAGGCCGCAGUAGGGAAUCUUCCGCGAUGGUCGAAAGCCUGACAGAGCAACGCCGCGUGAGUGAUGAUGGUCUUCGGAUCGUAAAACGCUGUUGUUAGGAAAGAACAAAUGUGUAAGUAACUAUGCACAUCAUGACGGUACCUAAUCAGAAAGCCACGGCUAACUACGUG